UACGUAGGGACCAAGCGUUUGUCCGGAAUCAUUGGGCGUAAAGAGCGUGUAGGCGGCUUGUUAAGUCUUGCGUGAAAUCUCGGGGCUCAACCCCGAGCGGUCGUGAGAAACUGGCAGGCUAGAGUGCGGGAGAGGAGAGUGGGAAUUCCUGGUGUAGCGGUGAAAUGCGCAGAUAUCAGGAAGAACACCCGUGGCGAAGGCGGCUCUCUGGAACGCAACUGACGCUGAGACGCGAAAGCUGGGGAGCA
rnacentral:rRNA from 1 species